rnacentral:lncRNA from 1 species
UGGUGGCUCAUCUGGUCAAAGGAGAAGAUGGUACCCGACUUCAAUGUUGAGUACCAGUUCCUUGCUGCUCCCUUCAGAGUGGAUGGGAAAGCUUGGCACAGGAUGGCGUCUGGCGCACCAUGGAGCAGCAUCAUUGUCCGGAAGGCCUCCAGGUGGUCAAUCGGAUUUGAAGUCCCAUCGUAGCUUUUGAAUUGGGGGAGCUUGAAGUUUGGCG